AUGGUCUGUCUGGGGUUCUUGUUCUUUUUGGCAGCUUUCUCAGGUGUCAGCUCCCAGAUCCAGCUGACCCAGUCUGGGGCAGAAAUCAAGAAGCCUGGAGAGUCUGUGAGGGUGACGUGUAAAACCUCCGGCUACAUCUUUACCAGCUAUAGCAUGCACUGGGCACGGCAGGCUCCAGGGAAAGCACUGGAGUGGAUAGGAUAUAUCAUCCCCAGUAGCGGUGGCACUGGCUAUGCCCAGGCCUUCCAGGGACGAUUCACCAUCACCAGGGACACCUCCAUAAGCACGGCCUAUCUACAGCUGGGCAGCCUGAGAACCGAUGACACAGCCACGUAUUACUGUGCUAGGGACACACAGUGA